GACGAACCGUGCGAACGUUGUUCGGAAUCACUGGGCUUAAAGGGCGCGUAGGCGGGCCGGACGGUCCGGAGUGAAAUCCCCCCGCUCAACGGGGGAACGGCUCCGGAUACCGCCGGCCUCGAGGGAGGUAGGGGCGAGCGGAACGCUGGGUGGAGCGGUGAAAUGCGUUGAUAUCCAGCGGAACUCCGGUGGCGAAGGCGGCGCGCUGGACCUUCGAGCC
rnacentral:rRNA from 1 species